UUAGUCUUGUAAUUCAAGACUGGAAUGAAAGGAUAAACUAGGGAAUUUCUUUCUUAGCUUUUCUUUUCGAAGUUUACUUUUUAGUAAAAAGGCUAAAAUGUCUCUUUUAGACAAGAAGACCCUAUAAAGCUUUACAUAAGAUAAUUUAAUAAAUUAAAAAUAUGUUUUACUGGGGCGGUGAAAAGAUGAAACACUUUUAGAGUGCUGAAAUAACAUUAUUUUAUUACCCAAAAAUUUUGAAUCUUAAAUAAGUUACUUUAGGGAUAACAGCGUAAUACAUUUUGAAAGUUCAAAUUGACAAAUGUGUUUGCGACCUCGAUGUUGGAUUAGAUUUCC
rnacentral:rRNA from 1 species